rnacentral:rRNA from 1 species
UACGGAGGGGGCGAGCGUUAUUCGGAAUCAUUGGGCGUAAAGGGCGCGUAGGCGGCCGGGCAAGUCAGGGGUGAAAUCCCUCGGCUCAACCGAGGAAUUGCCUCUGAAACUGCCCAGCUCGAGGCCGGGAGAGGGUAGUGGAAUUCCCAGUGUAGCGGUGAAAUGCGUAGAUAUUGGGAGGAACACCAGUGGCGAAGGCGGCUACCUGGACCGUUUCUGACGCUCAGGCACGAAAGCGUGGGGAGCAAACAGG